rnacentral:rRNA from 1 species
UGGCGGACGGGUGAGUAACGCGUGGGGAACCUGCCCUGUACAGGGGGAUAACACUUAGAAAUAGGUGCUAAUACCGCAUAAGCGCACAGUAUCGCAUGAUACAGUGUGAAAAACUCCGGUGGUACAGGAUGGACCCGCGUCUGAUUAGCUGGCUGGCGGGGUAACGGCCCACCAAGGCGACGAUCAGUAGCCGGCCUGAGAGGGUGAACGGCCACAUUGGGACUGAGACACGGCCCAAACUCCUACGGGAGGCAGCAG